rnacentral:rRNA from 1 species
CCUACGGGUGGCAGCAGUAGGGAAUUUUGCGCAAUGGGCGAAAGCCUGACGCAGCAACGCCGCGUGAUCGAGAAGCCCUCCGGGGUGUAAAGAUCUGUUAGUGGGGGCGAAACUUGACGGUACCCACAGAGGAAGCACCGGCUAACUCCGUGCCAGCAGCCGCGGUAAUACGGGGGGUGCAAGCGUUGUCCGGAAUCAUUGGGGGUAAAGAGGUCGUAGGGGGAACGUAAAGUCUGGUGUUAAAGGCAGGGGUUCAACAUCUGUACGGCAGUUGAUACUUGCGGUCUAGAAUGCGAGAGAGGUAGAGGGGAUGCGCGGUGUAGCGGUGAAAUGCUUAGAUAUCAGGAAGAACAUCGGUGGCGUAAGCGCUUUGCUGGGCCGUAACUGACGCUGAGGAACGAAAGCGAGGGUAGCGAACGGGAUUAGAUACCCGAGUAGUC